rnacentral:lncRNA from 1 species
UCUCCCCUUCAGCAACAGAAUGGCUAUCCUUUGGUGAAUUAAUUGAUUGUUUGCAGACAUGUUUUCCGAAGCUCUAUGGGUUAGUGACCCGUCAGGAGACGGGGUGGGGUAUGGGUGGCAGUGGUUCUGUGGGGACUGCGUUCUCCCUGUCAACUAUGGGAACUCUGACAGUUUGGGUGCGAGGCAACCGCGUUUCCUCCCUGUGUACUGUAGCUCUUGGUGUUUGGAGUGGGAGUCGGGGUGAGGGAACGGCGUGUGCUGGUGUACAUGGCUUUCUUUAUGUACCUAUACUUACCCUUUCCUGUGUAUGAUUUCUUAAGGCUUUGAUGGCCUCUGGAGGGACAUCCUAGGUCACCUCGGGAAACUUAGCUAAACUAGAGGUGGGAAAGCAGAAGAGCUUUCUCUUCCUCGGGCCUUCACCCACCCCCUUACCCAGCGACUGGAAAGACUUUGAUUCUCCCCUCCCCCAUCUUUUCCUCCCCAGGCUCUUCUUUUGUUGUCAAGUUCCUUUGAUAAAUGGUUGUGCUGUAGAGCUGAGAGAGAAGAGGGAAGAAGGUCGGUGGAGAAAAGCCGAGGAAAAUAACAUACAAAAAGAGAAGAAUGGGGUGCGCUGAUUCACACAUUCAUUUGGAAGGAAUUCGGAAGAGGGUCCUCAAGUCUAGGACACCUAGCAAAAAAGGCCGAAGUGGGUUCCAGCACUUCCUUCAAGCACCGGCACAAACCCGACCUGCUCGUUUGUCAACUUUCUCAGCCCCUAAUCCAAACAUGCUUGAAAGCCCCUGGCCCCAAGACUUGGUACUCGUUCACUCUUCUUUCUCUCCAGACCCGGGUAGAGAGAGACCUAUUCCCAGCCGGCAGUCGAGCUCAGGACGCGGGGCUCGGAAUUUCUCAGUCGACAGAGCAGAGCAGAGGAAAGCUGAGCAGAGCGCACCCACUCAGCCUUAG